GCGGGUGUGGCGGAAUGGAAGACGCACUAGACUUAGGAUCUAGCGCUUAGGCGUGCAGGUUCAAAUCCUGUCACCCGUACCA
rnacentral:tRNA from 10 species